GCCGGGCGUGGUGGCGGGCGCCUGUAGUCCCAGCUAAUCGGGAGGCUGAGGCAGGAGAAUGGCGUGAACCCGGGAGGCGGAUGUGCAGUGAGCCGAGAUGGCGCCACUGCACUCCAGCCUGGGCGACAGAGCGAGACUGUGUCUCAAAAAAAAAAAAAAAGAACUUUAUUGCAUUUUUUUUUUUUUUUUUGAGGCAGAGUCUCACUCUAUUGCCCAGGCUGGAGUGGAGUUGCGCGAUCUCGGCUCACUGCAACCUCUGCCUCCUGGGUUCAAGUGAUUCUCCUGC
rnacentral:lncRNA from 1 species